GUGGCGGACGGGUGAGUAACACGUGGGUAACCUGCCCUAAAGUGGGGGAUAACAUUUGGAAACAGAUGCUAAUACCGCAUAAAACCUAACACCGCAUGGUGUAGUGUUGAAAGAUGGUUUCGGCUAUCACUUUAGGAUGGACCCGCGGUGCAUUAGUUAGUUGGUGAGGUAAAGGCUCACCAAGACCGUGAUGCAUAGCCGACCUGAGAGGGUAAUCGGCCACACUGGGACUGAGACACGGCCCAGACUCC
rnacentral:rRNA from 1 species